rnacentral:rRNA from 1 species
GAUGAACGCUGGCGGCGUGCCUAACACAUGCAAGUCGAACGAAGCUCUUACGACGGAACUCUUCGGGAGGGAAGAUGUAUUAGACUUAGUGGCGGACGGGUGAGUAACGCGUGGGUAACCUGCCGUAUACGAGGGGGACAACAGUUAGGAAACGACUGCUAAUACCGCAUAAGCGCACAGCAUCGCAUGAUGCAGUGUAGAAAAACUCCGGGUGGUAUACGAUCGGACCCGCGUCUGAUUAGCUAGUUGGUGAGGUAACGGCCCACCAAGGCGACGAUCAGUAGCCGGCCUGAGAGGGUGAUCGGCCACAUUGGGACUGAGACACGGCCCAAACUCCGUACGGGAGGCAGCAGGUGGGGAAUAGUUGGGCAAUGGGGGAAACCCUGACCCAGCAACGCCGCGUGGAGGAAGAAGGUUUUCGGAUCGUAAACUCCUGUCCUCAGGGAAGAGUAGAAGACGGUACCUGAGGAGGAAGCCCCGGCUAACUACGUG